rnacentral:rRNA from 1 species
UACGGAGGGGGCUAGCGUUGUUCGGAAUUACUGGGCGUAAAGCGCACGUAGGCGGCUUGGUAAGUUAGAGGUGAAAGCCUGGAGCUCAACUCCAGAAUUGCCUUUAAGACUGCCGAGCUAGCAGGUGAGAGAGGUGAGUGGAAUUCCGAGUGUAGAGGUGAAAUUCGUAGAUAUUGGGAAGAACACCGGUGGCGAAGGCGGCGAGCUGGUCCAUUACUGACGCUGAGGCGCGAAAGCGUGGGGAGCAAACAGG